rnacentral:rRNA from 1 species
AUUGAACGCUGGCGGCAGGCCUAACACAUGCAAGUCGAGCGGAUGACGGGAGCUUGCUCCUUGAUUCAGCGGCGGACGGGUGAGUAAUGCCUAGGAAUCUGCCUGGUAGUGGGGGACAACGUUUCGAAAGGAACGCUAAUACCGCAUACGUCCUACGGGAGAAAGCAGGGGACCUUCGGGCCUUGCGCUAUCAGAGGAGCCUAGGUCGGAUUAGCUAGUAGGUGGGGUAAUGGCUCACCUAGGCGACGAUCCGUAACUGUCUGAGAGGAUGAUCAGUCACACUGGAACUGAGACACGGUCCAGACUCCUACGGGAGGCAGCAGUGGGGAAUAUUGGACAAUGGGCGAAAGCCUGAUCCAGCCAUGCCGCGUGUGUGAAGAAGGUCUUCGGAUUGUAAAGCACUUUAAGUUGGGAGGAAGGGCAGUAAGCUAAUACCUUGCUGUUUUGACGUUACCGACAGAAUAAGCACCGGCUAACUCUGUGCCAGCCGCCGCAGUAAUAC